UCCCUUAUAGUGUAGAGGUUUAGCAUUUCAGAUUUUCACUGUAAAGAGAUCUUCUGAGGACCCGGGUUCGAACCCCGGUGAGGGAG